rnacentral:tRNA from 1 species
UGUGCGGCGUGGUGUGGUGUUACACCGGUCCACAGGACCGGGCCGAGGAGGUCUUCGCGCCCAUUCGCGAGUUCGGGCCGCCCGCGUUGCACGG